rnacentral:sRNA from 1 species
CUCACCUGCAGCAGGCACUCGGCACAACUCCGCAGGACCGGCUCACCUGCACCGGGCACUCAGCACAGCCUCCAGCAUGCAGCGCCUCCCCGCUGCCACCCGGGCCACCCUGAUCCUCAGCCUGGCCUUUGCCUCCCUCCACUCAGCUUGCUCGGCAGAAGCGAGCAGCAGCAACAGCUCAACCUUGACCAGUCACCACCCAGACCCUGGGACCCUGGAGCAGUGCCUCAGUAAGCUUCUCCUGCCAACUGCUCUAACCCCAGAACUGGCCCUCGGCCUGGGAGGGAAACAAAGGCCUCCCCACUUUCCGUUGAUUGGUGUCAGGUGGCCAAGGGCCUGCCUGGCCUUCCUGUGCACCAGUGUGGUUUGUCCCAGAACUAUUUGCAGAGCAGGUCUGAAAGGCUUUCUUGGCUCUGAUCCCCAUCUAGGUGCACAAUCUUUGACAGAUUGCUUUAAUGACCCAUCCCAGGUGAGCAGCUAACAAUGCCCUAGGUUCAAAUCCUUGAAGAAGUUUGGAGGUGGACAGCCCAUAAGAAAUCAUCUAGUCCAACUUCCUCCCAAUGCAAGAGCUUGGUUUUGGUAUCCUUGGCAUACAUAUUUCUUCUUCUUCUAUGCAUGUUCUUCCUCUUCUUGCAUACUUC